rnacentral:rRNA from 1 species
GACGAACGCUGGCGGCGUGCUUAACACAUGCAAGUCGAACGGAAAGGCCCUGCUUUUGUGGGGUGCUCGAGUGGCGAACGGGUGAGUAACACGUGAGUAACCUGCCCUUGACUUUGGGAUAACUUCAGGAAACUGGGGCUAAUACCGGAUAGGAGCUCCUGCUGCAUGGUGGGGGUUGGAAAGUUUCGGCGGUUGGGGAUGGACUCGCGGCUUAUCAGCUUGUUGGUGGGGUAGUGGCUUACCAAGGCUUUGACGGGUAGCCGGCCUGAGAGGGUGACCGGCCACAUUGGGACUGAGAUACGGCCCGGACUCCUACGGGAGGCAGCAGUGGGGAAUAUUGCACAAUGGGCGGAAGCCUUAUGCAGCAACGCCGCGUGCGGGAUGACGGCCUUCGGGUUGUAAACCGCUUUCGCCUGUGACGAAGCGUGAGUGACGGUAAUGGGUAAAGAAGCACCGGCUAACUACGUG